rnacentral:ncRNA from 1 species
CAAAGGCUUGGUCCUGACUUUUCUAUCAGCUUUAACCAAAUUUACACAUGCAAGUCUCCGCACCCCCGUGAGAAUGCCCUAAAUACCCUGCCCGGAAUUAAGGAGCUGGCAUCAGGCACGCUUUAGCAGCCCAAGACGCCUUGCUUAGCCACACCCCCAAGGGAGCUCAGCAGUGAUAAAAAUUAAGCUAUAAGUGAAAACUUGACUUAGUUAAAGUUUAAAGGGCCGGUAAAACUCGUGCCAGCCACCGCGGUUAUACGAGAGGCCCAAGUUGAUAGCCCAACGGCGUAAAGCGUGGUUAGGAAAAACUAAACAACUAGGGCUAAACAUCCCCAGAGCUGUUAUACGCAAACGAGGAUAUGAAAAUCCCCCACAAAAGUGGCCCCAACUAACCCGACCCCACGAAAGCUGCAAAACAAACUGGGAUUAGAUACCCCACUAUGUGCAGCCGUAAACCUUGAUGGAAGCAAUACCCUUCCCAUCCGCCUGGGAACUACGAGCACCAGCUUAAAACCCAAAGGACUUGGCGGUGCUUUAGACCCCCCUAGAGGAGCCUGUUCUAGAACUGAUAACCCCCGUUAAACCUCACCGCCCCUUGUUAACACCGCCUAUAUACCGCCGUCGUCAGCUUACCCUGUGAAGGUAAAACAGUAAGCAAAAUUAGUAAAACUCAAAACGUCAGGUCGAGGUGUAGCGCAUGAGGCGGGAAGAAAUGGGCUACAUUCUCUCUUGAGAGUAUACGAAUGAUGUAUUGAAACAUACACCUAAAGGAGGAUUUAGCAGUAAGUGGCAAAUAGAGCGUCCCACUGAAACUGGCCCUGAAGCGCGCACACACCGCCCGUCACUCUCCCCAAAUUGCCCCUAAACAUUUCAUAAAACUUUUAUUAAAUAAAGGGGAGGCAAGUCGUAACAUGGUAAGCGUACCGGAAGGUGCGCUUGGACAAAC